rnacentral:rRNA from 1 species
AUUGAACGCUGGCGGCAGGCCUAACACAUGCAAGUCGAGCGAGCGGCGGACGGGUGAGUAAUGCCUGGGAAUUGCCCAGUCGAGGGGGAUAACAGUUGGAAACGACUGCUAAUACCGCAUACGAUUGGAUUGCCCAGGUGGGAUUAGCUAGUUGGUGAGGUAAUGGCUCACCAAGGCGACGAGCCCUAGCGGGUCUGAGGGGAUGAGCAGCCACACUGGAACUGAGACACGGUGCAGACUCCUACGGUGGGCAGCAGGGGGGAAUAAUGCAGUAUGGGGGGAACCCUGAUGCAGCCAUGCCGCGGUUGUGAAGAAGGCCUUCGGGUUGUAAAGCACGUGCAGCGAGGAGGCGUUACUCGCAGAAGAAGCACCGGCUAACUCCGUGCCAGCAGCAGCGGUAUUC